UCCUGGCAGUCAGGUGACAGACCGGGUUCCCGGGUCCCCCACCCCCGCUGCUCCCAGGUUGUCCUAAGCGGUGUGUCCGUCGCCGUUCCACUGCCUGGGAGUCUUUCCAGAGAAGGUGCUCGGGAUAGAAAAGCAGUAUCUAUGAUUUCCAGCCUCUUGAUUUCCAGUCUCACUUGGACUUAAACUUAGCAGUGAUUUCCUGUACUCAGACAAUUUCAGUAACUUUUACACCGAGCUUUCCAGGUCACCGCUCCCACAGAGUGCUGCCGGGAAUGGCCCAAGUCACACUCGAGCUGCUACACCAAGUUCAUUUGGAGGAUAAACACGGGGCAUUUCCUCAUUGUGCAUAAAUAUCAGGGCGUGAAAAUGAAAAAGACACACACUAUUAUCCAGGUGAUUCCAGAUGUUUUAACUCAUCUAUGGGCACUGUAGGUGAUGUUAUAGUAGCAAAUCUAACUAGUGUCCAUACGACUAGUUCAUCCAGUUGCACACACUAGCUGUUACUGUGUGGUAGUGUGCCAUGCAACAUGCAGAGGGAAGCCACAGCAUAGUAGAUACUCAUGGCCUGUGCCAGAAGUGUGCUUGCGUACUUCUGUUCACACUAGGGAUACCAGACAUCAAUGAACAUGGCUUCUAGCCCUAUGGAAUGCUAAGCGUUCUCAUCUCUAUCAUGGCACCAUCAGCUGUUCUGUUCUCACCUCGGUUCCACAUCAUCCUGUUCUUUAACCUUCUGAAAUUCUCUCUGUAGAGCCUCCUCUCGCCGCCCUCGCCACACAUAUUUUUUGGCAUUGAGGAAUACAGCUGUUGUAAAAGCUCCUGCUGAAUGAUGCCAGAGGAGCCCCAGGACAUCUAUGUUUUUGAUCCUGCAACUUCUCUGCAGUCCCCUGGACAGACUAUUCCAAAGAAUCUGUUAUUAAGAAGUGCACUCAGUUCAAGUUUGAACAAUUCAACUGGAAUAAUCAUAGACAGAAUAAUUAUCUUAAAGGAAGGCCUCAAGCGUUUAAAACAACAACACCAUGAGGAGAGACCUGGCCCAAGAACAGAUAUGAGGAAGAAGGAAGAUCCACCGCUAUUACAGAGAGCCUUUUGUUCACUGGAGUUGACUCAGACAGUUCCAGAAAGGGCCACUUUGCUGAUUAUGGCAGUCCCCAAAGGAAGCAGCCAGGACAUCUCCACAAGGAGGAAAAGAUGGCUUUUAUGAAGAACCAAAUGAAGGACUUUGCUAGUGAAGUCAACUAUAAAAAGGAUAUGUGCAUAAAAUGAAAUAGGUUUGAAGUGAUUUAUACAUAUUGUAUAUAUGCAUCACACAAUCAUGAGAAAAGAAAGUUGGAAGACUCACACUUCCUGAUAGCAAGUCUUACUCCAGAGUGACAGUAAUCAAGACAGUGUGGUACUGAUGUAAGAACGAGAAAUGGAUCAGUGGAAUGGGCAGAGACUCUAGAAGCCAACCUUCACAUUAGAACCAAUUUACUUUGACAAGGAUCCUGAGAAAAUUCAAUAAGGAAAGACAUUAUUUUUUUUCCACAAAUGAUUCUAGAACAACUGGAUAGUAACAUGCAAAGGAAUAAAGCCAGAUCCUGGUCACAGCUACAAAAAUGAACUCCAAAUGGACGAAAGACAUAAGCAUAAGAGAAAAAAAACCUCAACAAAAAACAAAACAAACAAACAAAAACAAAACAACAAAACCUUAGAAGAAAACUCAGUGGGGGAGAUGGGGAAUAUCUUGAUAUUAGAUGUGACAAUAAUUUCUUGAUAUGACAGAAAUAAAAGAAAAAAAUUGGUAAGUUGGACUACACUAAAAUCUAAAAGCCUGUGUCUCAAAGGAUACCAUCUGGAGAUAGAAGAAAUACUGAUAUAGGGCUUCUAUUUAGAACAUAAAGUAUUCACAUAGUUUAAUAAUAA